CCUCCGGUAGCUCAGUUGGUAGUAGCAUCUGUUUGAAGCACAGAAGGUCGUCGGUUCGAUUCCGACCUGGGGGGC
rnacentral:tRNA from 1 species